rnacentral:rRNA from 1 species
GGGGAAUAUUGCGCAAUGGGGGAAACCCUGACGCAGCAACGCCGCGUGAAGGAAGAAGGUCUUCGGAUCGUAAACUUUUGUCUUUAGGGAAGAUAGUGACGGUACCUAAGGAGGAAGCCACGGCUAACUACGUGCCAGCAGCCGCGGUAAUACGUAGGUGGCAAGCGUUGUCCGGAUUUACUGGGUGUAAAGGGUGCGUAGACGGGUAAGUAAGUCAGAUGUGAAAUACCGAGGCUCAACCUCGGGGCUGCAUUUGAAACUGCAUAUCUUGAGUGUCGGAGAGGAAAGCGGAAUUCCUAGUGUAGCGGUGAAAUGCGUAGAUAUUAGGAGGAACACCAGUGGCGAAGGCGGCUUUCUGGACGAUAACUGACGUUGAGGCACGAAAGCGUGGGGAGCAAAC